rnacentral:tRNA from 1 species
CCCCGCGUGCUCGACCGGUUCGCGAGCGACGGCUACGACCUGGCGCUGGCCGGGCACACGCACGGCGGGCAGUUGUGCCUGCCGGUGGUGG